rnacentral:rRNA from 1 species
AUGAAGCAAUCAGAGGACUCGAAGGAUUUGAGUGCAGAUUUUGCGUUAAAGGACCUUGGAGACUUGCAUUAUUUUCUUGGGAUUGAGGUAAAGAAGCAUCAGGAUGGACUUCAUCUCUCUCAAGCAAAAUAUGCAAUUGAUCUGGUUAAAAAGGCAGGACUGCAAGGUUGUAAACCCUCACUCACUCCAUUAUCCAACUCAGAAAAAUUGUCUCUUGCAGAAGGUGAACCCUUGAGUCAGGAAGAUAGCACAAAAUACAGAAGGCUAGUAGGAGCUCUUCAAUAUCUAACUCUUACCAGGCCUGAUAUUUCCUUUUGUGUUAACAAAGUCAGCCAGUUUUUGCAUGCACCUACCAAUGUUCACUUGACAGCUGCCAAGCGCAUAGUCAGAUAUGUUAAACAUACUUUAAGUAUAGGUCUGAAUUUCAGCAAGUCAUCUUCUACUCUUGUCGGUGCCUUUUCUGACUCCGAUUGGGCAGGCUGCCUGCAUGACAGGCGCUCAACAGGUGGCUUUGCAGCAUUUUUCGGACCUAACUUAAUAUCAUGGUGUGCACGCAAACAUGCUACUGUAUCCGGGUCAAGCAUUGAGGCAGAGUACAAAGCAUUAGCAAAUGCUACAGCUGAAAUCAUAUGGGUUUAG